UUAAGUUCAGCGGGUAUUCCUACCCGAUCCGAGGUCAACCUAAUCGAAUUUCGAUUGAAAUUCAUGGGUUCUAACGGCGUGGUCCGCUCCCAUCGCUAGCGAGAAGUGUGUCACAACGCUAAGACGGGCGACGGCCAGCCGGUGAAAUUGAGGCGCGGGGGAGUCCCGCCGCCCAAUACCAAGCCAGGCUUGAUUGGAUU
rnacentral:misc_RNA from 1 species